ACUCCUACGGGAGGCAGCAGUGGGGAAUUUUGCGCAAUGGGCGAAAGCCUGACGCAGCAACGCCGCGUGAGUGAUGAAGGCUUUCGGGUCGUAAAGCUCUGUCAGGGGGAAAGAAGUGUAGUGUGGUUAAUACCCAUGCUACUUGACGGUACCCCCAAAGGAAGCACCGGCUAACUCCGUGCCAGCAGCCGCGGUAAUACGGAGGGUGCAAGCGUUGUUCGGAAUUAUUGGGCGUAAAGCGCGUGUAGGCGGUUUGUUAAGUCUGAUGUGAAAGCCCCGGGCUCAACCCGGGAAGUGCAUUGGAAACUGGCAGACUUGAAUACGGGAGAGGGUAGUGGAAUUCCUAGUGUAGGAGUGAAAUCCGUAGAUAUUAGGAGGAACACCGGUGGCGAAGGCGGCUGCCUGGACCGAUAUUGACGCUGAGACGCGAAAGCGUGGGUAGCAAACAGGAUUAGAUACCCUGGUAGUCCACGCCGUAAACGAUGAGAACUAGGUGUCGCGGGUA
rnacentral:rRNA from 1 species